rnacentral:rRNA from 1 species
UACAGAGGGGGCAAGCGUUGUCCGGAAUUAUUGGGCGUAAAGAGCUCGUAGGCGGUUUGUCGCGUCUGCUGUGAAAACUCGGGGCUUAACUCCGGGCCUGCAGUGGGUACGGGCAGACUAGAGUGCGGUAGGGGAGACUGGAAUUCCUGGUGUAGCGGUGAAAUGCGCAGAUAUCAGGAGGAACACCGGUGGCGAAGGCGGGUCUCUGGGCCGUAACUGACGCUGAGGAGCGAAAGCGUGGGGAGCGAACAGG